AUGCGCCCCGCGCGUGGGGGCCAGGCAGGUGUGUGCGCUCGGGUCUACCGGCACGCAAGCACACCUCGCCAAAUCCCCGUUGCCCUGGUGCUUUGGCUUUCUUAUCCUCGCGAGACGCCCUUGAUCGAGCUCGUGAGCAUGCACGCCCUCUCACGUCCGUGCCCCUCGGGCAACGUGACGCGCUCUGCAACAGCUCUACGGCGUCUCCCGAGACCUACAACACCUUCUGAGAUUAGUGGCCCCCCGAGUCAUCAGGAAAGGGGGCUCCACCAGGCAUCAAGGGUCGUACCCCCGCGAGGAAGUGUGGAUGUCGUCAAGGCCAAGCCCACCCUCAUCGCCGGCGCGACCAACAUCAAGGCCAAGCUGAUCAUCACCGCUGCUGAAAGAAAUGCGGAAAACAACUAUGAUGACAUCAAGAAAUACCUAGAGAUGAGAUACAUAUCAACAACUGAAGCAUACUGGCGGAUAUUCCAGUUUGAUCUACACCAUCGUGAUCCACCAGUCAAGAGACUACCAUUCCACAUUGAAAAUGAUCAAGAAGUUAUUUUUCUAGACUCGACUGACAUUGAUAAGAUAAAUUCCCAUCAAAAUUUGUAUGGAAAAGCGAAACAAAAACUUGGGGAGCCGAAAAGGGGCUUCGAUAUUGGACGAAUCUACUAUGCACACUCUGCAAGUGGCAACCGGUAUUAUAUGAGAAUGCUUCUAAACACCAAGAAAGGAUGCACAUCAUUCAUGAUAUUGGAACAGUUAAUGGAGCUGUUCACCCAACAUACAAAUAAGCAUGCCAAGCGCUUGGAUUUCUUGAUGACGACAGUGACCAGCCCAAAGAUGUUGAGGGAAUCAACAUGGGAGGCACUGUCUAAAGAUAUCCAGUACAAAAGAAGAAUUAUGCUUAACUUUCCUAUGCUGCAGCUCACUGAUUCACAAAAAAAGGCAUAUGCUCUGAUUGAGAUAGAGAAACUAAUGAGGCAAGCAGGAAAGACACUAAAGGACUAUCCAGACACAGAACUACCAAAUGCUACAAAACUUGAAGAACUUGGGAACAGAAUGAUAAACGGAAAACUUAGCUAUGACAUGGAGGCACUAAAGAAUGAGCACCAAACCAUAAUAAGCAAUAUCCUCUGUCAGUUUAUUUCGCAAUGA
rnacentral:rRNA from 1 species